CUCGUCCGAAGGCGGGCCAGCGAUGGCCGCCGGCGAGGUGCUGCAUGGUUGUCGUCAGCUCGUGCCGUGAGGUGUCCGGGUUAAGUCCCAUAACGAGCGCACCCUACCGCCAGUUGCCAACGGGUAAAGCCGGGGACUCAGGCGGGACUGCCGGCGUAAGCCGAGAGGAAGCGGGGAUGACGUCAAAUCAGCACGGCCCUUACGUCCAGGGCUACACACGUGUUACAAUGGCCGGUACAGAGGGAGGCGACCCCGCGAGGGGGAGCGGAUCCCGAAAGCCGGUCGUAGUUCGGAUCGGGGUCUGGAACCCGACCCCGUGAAGCCGGAUUCGCUAGUAAUCGCGCAUCAGCCAUGGCGCGGUGAAUACGUUCCCGGGCCUU
rnacentral:rRNA from 1 species